rnacentral:rRNA from 1 species
CGGGACGGACGAACCUCUGGUAUACCAGUUGUUCCACCAGGAGCACCGCUGGAUAGCCACGUUCGGACAGGAUAACCGCUGAAAGCAUCUAAGCGGGAAACCCCCUCCAAGACCAGGCUUCUCACCCUUUUAGAGGGAUAAGGCCCCCCGCAGACCACGGGAUUGAUAGACCAGACCUGGAAGCCUAGUAAUAGGUGCAGGGAACUGGCACUAACCGGCCGAAAACUUACAACAACC